GUUGUAGAUAUGCAGGAGAAGACAGACAAAUUUGCCUCUCCACUGCCAAUGUCUUCCACAUCAAAAGGAUUGAGUCAGAGAUGUCACUGGGUGGUGAUGAAGCCUGGCUGUGACUGCAUGAGCUGCUGGGACAGAGGAUGGCCUGGAGAGCUGUGUAUAAGACCAGAGAUGCCUCCCACAACUUCUGAGAAGGGCAGAGUCCCAAACUCUUACCAAAAUUCCCUGAGUCUUGCUGCCUCAGAGUGGCUCUUUCUGUGGCUCUGGUGGAGCAGAAACUACAGAGAAAUCUCUUCAGAUUGGCUCACAAACAAUAUGGGCUUCUCCCAUAUUGUCAGGUGCCCACAAUGGUCCAAACAAUGACCUCCCCCGGUUAGUAAGAUUUAAAGAACCAAAAGCUAAAUAGAUGGGUAUAACUUUUGAGAAUCUGUUUUUCUCUGCCAUAUAUGAUAUUAAGAUAAAAUUACAAGUUGUUGGCUUACAUGUAGAAGAAUGAAACUGGACCAUUCUCUUACACCAUACACAAAGAUAAACUCAAAAUGGUUGAAUAAUCUAAAUGUGAGAGAAGAAUCCAUCAAAAUUCUAGAGGAGAACACAGGCAACAACCUUUUUGAACUUGGCCACAGCAACUUCUUGAAAGAUACAUCUGUGAAGGCAACAGAAACAAUAGCAGAAAUGAACUAUUGGGACUUCAUCAAAAUAAAUAGCUUCUGCCAGUGAAGGAAACAGUCAACAAAACUAAAAGACAACCUCCAGAAUGGGAGAAGAUAUUUGCAAAUGGCAUAUCAGAUAAAGGGCCAGUAUCCAAGAUCUCUAAAGAACAAACUCAACACCCAAGAAACAAACAAUCCAGUCAUGAAAUGGGUAGAAGACAUUUCUCCAAAGAAGACCUACACAUGGCCAACAGACACAUGAAAAAAUGUUCCACAUCCCUCGGCAUCAGGGAAAUACAAAUCAAAACCACAAUGAGAUACCACCUCACACCAGUGAAAAUGGCUAAAAUUAAUAAGACAGGAAACAACAAAUGUUGGUGAGGAUAUGGAGAAAGGGGAACCCUCUUGCACUGCUGGUGGGAAUGUAAGCUGAUUCAGCCACUCUGGAACAGUGUGGAGGUUCCUCAAAGAGUUAAAAAUAGAGCUACUUUACAACCCAGCAAUUGCACUGCUGGUAUUUACCCCAAAGACACUGAUGCAGUGAAAAGCUGGGACCCUACACCCCGGUGUUCAAAGCAGCAACGUUCACAAUAGCCAAACUGUGGAAGGAGCCAAGAUGUCCUUCAAUAGAUGAAUGUAUAAAAAAGAUGUGAGAUAUAUGUAUAUAAAAUAUGUAAUAUAUUACAUUAUAAUUAUACAUAAUACAUUAUAAUAUACAUAAUAUAUUACAUAUUAUAUGUUACAUAUAAUACACACUAUGUACAUACAUACACACAAUGGAAUGUUACUCGGUCAUCAGAAAGGACAAAUACCCAUUUGCUUCAAUGUGGAUGGAACUGGAGGAUAUUAGGCUGAAUGAAAUAAGUCAAUCGGAGAAGGACAAUCAUCAUAUGGCUUCACUUAUAUGCAAGAUGUAAGCAAUAGUGAAAGGAACUAUAAGAGAAAGGAAGAAAACUGAGUGAGGAAAAAUUAGAGAGGGAGACAAACCAUGAGAGACUCCUGGGC
rnacentral:lncRNA from 1 species